AGACAUUUAUAUAAAAGAAAGACGAUUAGACCCUAUUGAACUUAACUGUAGUUAAACUGGGSCAGUAAAUUAAUUAUUAUUUUAAUAAAAUUUAUUAUAUAAAUAUCUAAUAAAAUUAAAUAAUUAAGUUACCAUAGGGAUAACAGCGUAAUAAUCUUCUAAAGAUCUUAUUUAAAAUAUAGAUUACGACCUCGAUGUUGAAUUAAUAACCUAAUUAAGGCAAAACUUAAAAAAGGAAGUCUGUUCGACUUUUCAAAAAUUACAUGAUUUGAGUUCAGACCGGUGUAAGCCAGGUCGGUUUCUAUCUUCUAAAAAAUUUUUUACAGUACGAAAGGACCUAAAA
rnacentral:rRNA from 1 species